GACGAACGCUGGCGGCGUGCUUAACACAUGCAAGUCGAACGGAAAGGCCCUGCUUUUGUGGGGUGCUCGAGUGGCGAACGGGUGAGUAACACGUGAGUAACCUGCCCUUGACUUUGGGAUAACUUCAGGAAACUGGGGCUAAUACCGGAUAGGAGCUCCUGCUGCAUGGUGGGGGUUGGAAAGUUUCGGCGGUUGGGGAUGGACUCGCGGCUUAUCAGCUUGUUGGUGGGGUAGUGGCUUACCAAGGCUUUGACGGGUAGCCGGCCUGAGAGGGUGACCGGCGACAUUGGGACUGAGAUACGGCCCAGACGCCUACGGGAGGCAGCAGUGGGGAGUAUUGCACAAUGGGCGGAAGCCUGAUGCAGCAACGCCGCGUGCGGGAUGACGGCCUUCGGGUUGUGAACCGCUGUCGCAUGUGACGAAGCGUGAGUGACGGUAAUGGGUAAGGAAGCACCGGCUAACUACGUG
rnacentral:rRNA from 1 species